rnacentral:rRNA from 1 species
AGUGAACGCUGGCGGUAGGCCUAACACAUGCAAGUCGAACGGCAGCACAGUAAGAGCUUGCUCUUACGGGUGGCGAGUGGCGGACGGGUGAGGAAUACAUCGGAAUCUACUUUUUCGUGGGGGAUAACGUAGGGAAACUUACGCUAAUACCGCAUACGACCUACGGGUGAAAGCAGGGGAUCUUCGGACCUUGCGCGAUUGAAUGAGCCGAUGUCGGAUUAGCUAGUUGGCGGGGUAAAGGCCCACCAAGGCGACGAUCCGUAGCUGGUCGGAGAGGAUGAUCAGCCACACUGGAACUGAGACACGGUCCAGACUCCUACGGGAGGCAGCAGUGGGGAAUAUUGGACAAUGGGUGCAAGCCUGAUCCAGCCAUACCGCGUGGGUGAAGAAGGCCUUCGGGUUGUAAAGCCCUUUUGUUGGGAAAGAAAAGCAGCAGGUUAAUACCCCGCUGUUCUGACGGUACCCAAAGAAUAAGCACCGGCUAACUUCGUG